GUUCUCAUCAGACCCAGAGCUGGGGGGCAAAAGGGGGGGCUCCUCCGACCCAGAGCAGCUGGAGGGCCCCCGUGGCCCCGAAAUCCGGGCUGCACUUUCUCCAGAGUUUGCUUGCCCGGAAAAGGAGCCUCAUUCCCAGGAGGGGGGAGUCUGUCUGUCUGUCUGUCUGUCUGUCAUCCCUCAGCCGCCUCCGCGGCUGCCUCCAGUGCCCCCAGCCCUCCCCUUGGCCAAAGUCUGCUGCCUCUUCUUCUUCUUGAGAGAGCAAGUUUGAAAACCAGGUGAUGGCGUCUAACAUAACAGAGGCACGGAAGGCGCAAGCCGUGCCCGUUUUGAGCCUUUAUGCCCGACGCGGUUCCAACGUCACUCAGGACGCUGCUUGCGGCCGCGGGAUUGGCCUGCUGCUUUCCGAGUCACGCUGGCCAGCGUGCUGCUGCGUGUGGCGCUUUGGAAAGUUAACACUGACAAAUGCUGAAGGACUAAUUAGAGUUGCCCGCUGGAAAGAGUUUGCAAAAUGCCAAGCGUUGCCAAGCUGUACGUGGGCUGCUCUCGAGAGCUGCUGCAGACAGGCCUGAUUCACAAUGCAAAGUGUGCCCUCUGCCCAGGUCCCUUAGAACAAAGCCUUUUCAAGCCUAGAGCUGUAAAGGGUGUGUGCGUGUGCUGUUGUUGUCUUACAGUAAAUCCAGUUGAUUAUUGGUUAUGCGGGGAUCAGUUUAGUUGUUUUGCUGUAAAACCAUGCUUUAAAUUUCUUCCUUUAUUUUUGAAUAGAAAAAUCAUCCCCUUUGGCAAUCUUUUGGUAGGUUGGGUGGUCAGUGGCAGCCUGGACUACCACCCAGCCAACUUGUUUCCCUUUUUGCUCAUUGGAACACGGUCAACUUGGCAUGCUCUGACUGGGCAUUCUGAGUAGGUCAGUUUCAUUCUGACCUCAAAACAAAGUCCCCCCCAUUUUCUGAGCACCCCUAAUACUCCUGUAUCAGAAGUCAGUCCCACAUUACGCUGAGCCGUAGCUUGUUUUAACUGUAAUAAACCAGUGUGCUGGAUUUAUGGUGGAGAGGUAGAUCGAAACUAUGAUUUACUCACUACAAGUGAGGGCUAGGUUUGCACAACCCAGAAAGCCAAACUGCAUGAUUGCUUGUGCCAUGUGUGAGCCAAAUCACUCUGACCCUAUAAGAAAGGGCAACGCUAAAUUUCCUUGGUGCAUACACCUGAAAGAUCUAUCUCCUCUAAAACAUGCUUUAUGGAGCUGGUGGAGGGUUCAUGAGCAAAUGUCCUCUCCCACAAAAGUCUCUGUGCACAGAUGGUUGAUAUUCAGCCAGAGUUUCCUAAACCUCACGGUCAAUGGCUAUCCUGGCCGGGGAGUUCUGAGUUCUGCCUACCUGGACGUGGGGGAAAGUGGUGUGAGCAUCUGUGCCAACCCAGAGACCCUGAGCGCCUCCAGCCACGGGCAGCCCCGCUGGUUGCACAGGUGAGCUGCUUGACGCCUCAGGAUUCUUUUGACACUCAGUUGGGCUUCUCACAACUGAACUGAAACACACACACACACACACACACACUCUCCUCAAAACCAAACAAGGAAGCUCUGCUCUUUUCUGUUUCCUCAUUAUAUUCUGCUGUGACCAGCGAGUGGCUGAUAACGUUCAUUUCCUUUUCUUUUGAGCGUAUCUUCACCAGCCCCAGCUCACUGGGAGCAUUUGCUUUCCUGACUCAAAGUCUUGACUUUUCACCGUGCCCCUUUCCUUCUUCCUCCUCUUCUAUGCAUCCUUUUGUAUCAGAGAUCUCCUUACGCUCUUAUUCAGCCACGCUGGCCUCCUCUGCUUUCUUCCGUCUUUUUCCAGUCUGGACCCUGUUCGCAGUUAUCCUUUAACAGCUCCUUUUUUUAAGAACCUGCUCUCGUCUUUGGCCCCUGAGACACCCACCUUAAAGCCAAGAUCUCCAACGCUACACAAGUGUUUAGUGUCAGGUCAAGAGCAGCCGAUUCCUCUGUGCCCUUCUCCACUCAGGAAUGUCCUGGAAGAAACAAUUGUGCUCCCUGCCCUCUUGACGCUAUAAAUCACCUUAUGUCUUCCAGCCACAGAACUCUGAAGCUGCCAGAAAGUAAGACCGGAAGGGAAAAGACUUCUUUGACAGCAGCAGAAGACAGAUCUUGCCCAACUCCAAGGCAGAACCUGGAAGCAGAGAGGAAGGCACAUUCACCUCGCCCCACGGGUGGCUAGGGCAAGGGUCUGGCCCAUUCCCCCCCUUGAUCUGAACACCCUGAACACCGUCCCGUUCUACAGGGGAGGAGGAGUCAGAGCGGAUGCACAGGUCUCCUUUUCUCCUCUUGCCCUGGGCUCCGUGGCCCAUCCCCUCAGGCCACAAGAAGGCGUGUGCCACGCCGCAGCAUGUACAGAGGGCCCCACGGGGUGAGGGAGCAGGCGGGGCUGUGCACAGGAGCCAUGCGCUGGCGCAGGGAAGAUGCACAGGCCGAGCCGGUGAUUUGUUCCAGAUGCCUUCCUGCUGACUCCAGAGCCGCGCAGGAACAAAUCCUCCUCUGUCUAUUCAAGAUGUUCUUAUUAAGGACUAGGAUGAACCAUUAAAAAAAAAGGGGGGGGGCUUCUUCAAAUUUCAACCUGCUUCUCACUUUCAACCUUUUUUUGCCAAAGCAAGUCCCUGCCAGAAGAAUUAGAAUAUCCCUUUGGUUUUGUUUUUCGUUUUUUCCCAGGGAUUGGAGCAAACCUGAUCCACAGCAGUGAAAUGAAGCUCCGGCUGCUCGGCGGGAGCUAAACAAAUUCUGGAAGCAAUCUCGAAUCCAGGAGAGUUUGCAGAUUUUAAAGUAGAGAGAGUUCCUCUCGACUGGCCCUCGGCUCCAUGCGGGAAUCCAAAUCGGAUCUUUCCUAUCCAAUGGCAUCCAGCCUUGCUUGAACCCACUUUAUUUUAUUUUUUUAUUUAUAUAUCAAAUUUGUCACCGCCCAUCUCGUUAAAAAACAACUCUGGGCGGUUUACAGAAAAGAAAAAUAUUCGCCCAGCGAAGGGGCGUCCAGCCUCUCUCUGCUUCGUCUCAAAUUUGCCUUUGCUGUACUUUUAGGAACUUUUCUGAACAUCCGGGUGGAAUCUGCCUUCCUGUGACUGAAGACGGUUAUUCGUGUCCUGUGCUCAGAGAUGGCACUGGUCUUGGCGGCCUUCUGGUGCCAUCCUCCCGGUGCAGAGUGUUUCGUUUGUCUCUCUCCAGUCCAGUAACGAGACAGCUGGCAGAAAGGGGCGUCCAGUCUCAAAGCACCCAUUUCUCCCCUGCGCCCAGGGGAGAUCUCCUCCAAAGCACCCAGAGAUCUCCUCUGCAGGGAUCAAGACGCCCGUCUCUCGGGCGGCGUGCUGCCUGAGUUGGCAUCACCUGCUAGGCACGCAGCUGGCUGGCUAGCAUGUGGUGGAAGCCGGUCUGUGUGUGUAAACACAAGCAUUGCAUUUCCCACCCAAACCAUCUGCCGAGCGCCAGCUGCCCGGCUACACUUGCCGAUGGAGUAUACCAAAUCCUCCGACCAUCAUCUCUCGCUUCUGCUUCUUGGAAGGGAGGGAGCCGGGGAGAGGAUGGUACCAGGAGAGACAGGGCAUUCAGACAUGCCCGUGGGUCGCCUUGCAGGGACACUCCUCUGCGCCCAAAGAAAUUCUCUUCUGCCUGCAGAGCAAUCCAGAUGUUACUUUCCACUGGACUGAAUGACAACAGCCAGGAAUGGACAUCGUCAUCGUCAUCAUCCUCAUCAUUUCCCACCUUUAUUUUAUACAGCAGUUGUAUACACCACCCAAAAACUGUUGUACACCACCCAGAGUUGCUUUGUCUGAGACAAGUAGCUAUACAGAUGUAAUAUGUACACACACACACACACAACUCAAGGCAGAGUGCAUAAUGCUCCCACCUCCUAUUUUCCCCAUGACAACA